UACGGGGGGAGCAAGCGUUGUUCGGAUUUACUGGGCGUAAAGGGCGCGUAGGCGGCGCAACAAGUCACUUGUGUAAUCUCCGGGCUUAACUCGGAAAGGUCAAGUGAUACUGUUGUGCUAGAGUGCGGAAGGGGCAACUGGAAUUCUCGGUGUAGCGGUGAAAUGCGUAGAUAUCGAGAGGAACACCUGCGGCGAAGGCGGGUUGCUGGGCCGACACUGACGCUGAUGCGCGAAAGCCAGGGGAGCGAACGGG
rnacentral:rRNA from 1 species